rnacentral:rRNA from 1 species
GGCGGCGUGCCUAACACAUGCAAGUCGAACGAGAAAGUGGAGCAAUCCAUGAGUAAAGUGGCGACCGGGUGAGUAACACGUGACUACCUACCCUUGAGUGGGGGAUAACCUCGGGAAACCGAGGCUAAUACCGCAUAAUAUCGAAAGAUCAAAGGAGUAAUCCGCUUUUGGAGGGGGUCGCGGCUGAUUAGCUAGUUGGUAGGGUAAUGGCCUACCAAGGCGAAGAUCGGUAUCCGGCCUGAGAGGGCGCACGGACACACUGGAACUGAAACACGGUCCAGACUCCUACGGGAGGCAGCAGUGGGGAAUUUUGCGCAAUGGGGGAAACCCUGACGCAGCAACGCCGCGUGGAGGAUGAAGCCCCUUGGGGUGUAAACUCCUUUCGACCGGGAAAAUUAUGAUGGUACCGGUGGAAGAAGCACCGGCUAACUCUGUGCCAGCAGCCGCGGUAAUACAGAGGGUGCGAGCGUUGUUCGGAAUUAUUGGGCGUAAAGGGCGCGUAGGCGGUAUUGUAAGUCACCUGUGAAACCUCUAGGCUUAACCUA